GAUGAAGAACGCAGCGAAAUGCGAUAAGUAAUGCGAAUUGCAGAAUUUCCGUGAGUCAUCGAAUCUUUGAACGCACAUUGCGCCCACUGGUAUUCCGGUGGGCAUGCCUGUUCGAGCGUCAUUAUCCUCCCUCAAACCCCGGGUUUGGUGUUGGACCCAAGUUGUGUGAACAACUGGUCUCAAAGACAAUGACGGCGUCCGUGGGACCCUCGGUGCAACGAGCUUUUAGGAGCACGCAUCGAGUUGCAAGGACCUUCCGGGCCGGUCUCCUUUACCAUUUUACAAGGUUGACCUCGGAUCAGGUAGGAAUACCCGCUGAACUUAAGCAUAUCAAUAAGCGAGGA
rnacentral:misc_RNA from 1 species